GAGUUUGAUCCUGGCUCAGGACGAACGCUGGCGGCGUGCCUAACACAUGCAAGUCGAACGAGAAUCUGUGGAACGGAGCUUCGGCGAAGGGAAGCAGAGGACAGUGGCGAACGGGUGAGUAACGCGUGAGGAACCUGCCUUUCAGAGGGGGACAACAGCUGGAAACGGCUGCUAAUACCGCAUAAGCGCACGAGGAGACAUCUCCUAGUGUGAAAAACUCCGGUGGUAUAGGAUGGACCCGCGUUGGAUUAGCCAGUUGGCAGGGUAACGGCCUACCAAAGCGACGAUCCAUAGCCGGCCUGAGAGGGUGAACGGCCACAUUGGGACUGAGACACGGCCCAGACUCCUACGGGAGGCAGCAGUGGGGAAUAUUGCACAAUGGGGGAAACCCUGAUGCAGCAACGCCGCGUGAGUGAAGAAGUAUUUCGGUAUGUAAAGCUCUAUCAGCAGGGAAGAUAAUGACGGUACCUGACUAAGAAGCUCCGGCUAAAUACGUGCCAGCCGCCGCGGUAAUUC
rnacentral:rRNA from 1 species